rnacentral:lncRNA from 13 species
CUUGAUUUCAACCUGUGAUUCCCUAAGCAGAGGACACAGACUGCAUAGCAGAGGGUAUUGUUCCUGGAAAACAUAUGAGUUGUUCAUCUCAAUGGAAACAUUUCUACUAUGAGUCUAGGAGGGGAUUAAAAUCAGCUCAUGUAAUGCUAUCUUUGAAAAAGACUGAAGCCCAAAUACAGGAACAAGCUCCUGAGAAAUUCUUCAUAGCAAUACAGAAAAGAGAUGAACUAUCAGUGAUGAAGGUUCUUCAAGCUGGUUCUGGUCUAAGAACAUGCUUCCCAC